ACCCCUUUAAAUGGGCAAAGAAACACCUUGUUGUUGGUGGUGUUCUUAUGUCAGUCAAAGGCGGUGGAGAUUGCAGUUCUUUGUUCAUUCUAGCUUGAUACCUGGCUUAGUGCUCAAAGCUGUCUUAAGCCUAGGACUCAUAA